rnacentral:rRNA from 1 species
CUCCCGUUUGAUCCUGCCGGACCCGACUGCUAUCAGAGUGGGACUAAGCCAUGCGAGUCAACAUAGCAAUAUGUGGCAUACGGCUCAGUAACACGUAGUCAACAUGCCCAGGGGACGUGGAUAACCUCGGGAAACUGAGGAUAAACCGCGAUAGGUCAUCACUUCUGGAAUGGGUAAUGACUUAAAUCUAUAUGGCCCCUGGAUUGGACUGCGGCCGAUCAGGCUGUUGGUGAGGUAAUGGCCCACCAAACCUGUAACCGGUACGGGCUCUGAGAGGAGGAGCCCGGAGAUGGGCACUGAGACAAGGGCCCAGGCCCUAUGGGGCGCAGCAGGCGCGAAACCUCUGCAAUAGGCGAAAGCUUGACAGGGUUACUCUGAGUGAUUUCCGUUAAGGAGAUCUUUUGGCACCUCUAAAAAUGGUGCAGAAUAAGGGGUGGGCAAGUCUGGUGUCAGCCGCCGCGGUAAUACCAGCACCCCGAGUGGUCGGGACGUUUAUUGGGCCUAAAGCAUCCGUAGCCGGUUCUACAAGUCUUCCGUUAAAUCCACCUGCUUAACAGAUGGGCUGCGGAAGAUACUAUAGAACUAGGAGGCGGGAGAGGCAAGCGGUACUCGAUGGGUAGGGGUAAAAUCCGUUGAUCCAUUGAAGACCACCAGUGGCGAAGGCGGCUUGCCAGAACGCGCUCGACGGUGAGGGAUGAAAGCUGGGGGAGCAAACCGGAUUAGAUACCCGGGUAGUCCCAGCUGUAAACGAUGCAGACUCGGUGAUGAGUUGGCUUAUUGCUAACUCAGUGCCGCAGGGAAGCCGUUAAGUUUGCCGCCUGGGGAGUACGGUCGCAAGACUGAAACUUAAAGGAAUUGGCGGGGGAGCA